AUGAAUAUACCGGUUCUCGUUAGAUCACCGAAGUACAGCAUCUGGGCGCUAAUCAGUACUUGGGUGGGUGACCACCUGGGGACACCGCGUGCAGU